AACGAACGCUGGCGGCAUGCCUAACACAUGCAAGUCGAACGAGACCUUCGGGUCUAGUGGCGCACGUGUGCGUAACGCGUGGGAACCUGCCCUUAAGUUCGGAAUAACUCCCCGAAAGGGGUGCUAAUACCGGAUAAUGUCUUCGGACCAAAGAUUUAUCGCCUUUGGAUGGGCCGGCGUUGGAUUAGCUAGUUGGUAGGGUAAAAGCCUACCAAGACGACGAUCAAUAGCUGGUCUGCGAGGAUGAUCAGCCACACUGGGACUGAGACACGGCCCAGACUCGUACGGGGGGCAGUAGUAGGGACUAUUGGCCAAGGGGCGACAGCCUGAUCCAGCAAUGCCGCGUGAGUGAUGAAGGCCUUAGGGUUGUAAAGCUCUUUUACACGGGAUGAUAAUGACAGUACCGGGAGAAUAAGCUCCGGCUAACCCCGUG
rnacentral:rRNA from 1 species